GGAAGGAUCAUUAUCGUACAACAGAGGCCACCUAGGGCUGUCGCUGGCCCUUUCACAGGCUGUGCACGCCCAAAGUGGACUCUUACAUCCAUUUCACCCCAUUGUGCAUUACCGCGUAGGGCCUCCUAUCGGAGGUCUUGCGUUUUUACAACAAACACCAUUUUAAUGKAUGUUUAGAAUGUCUUUUGCGAUUAAACGCAAUCAAUAUAACUUUCAACAACGGAUCUCUUGGCUCUCGCAUCGAUGAAGAACGCAGCGAAAUGCGAUACGUAAUGUGAAUUGCAGAAUUCAGUGAAUCAUCGAAUCUUUGAACGCACCUUGCACCCCUUGGUAUUCCGAGGGGUACACCCGUUUGAGUGUCGUGAACACCAUCAACCUUCUUGGUUUCUUUACCAAAAAGGCUUGGACAUUGGAGGCUUUCCUUGCUGGCUUAUAUUUUGAGUCAGCUCCUCCUAAAUGAAUUAGUGGGAUCUGCUUUGCUGACCCUUGACGUGAUAAGUAUCCUUCUACGUCUUGGUUCUUUUGCACUGUCACCUGCUUCAAACUGUCUUUACAUCAAAGACAAUGUUCGAGUUGACUCGACCUCAUUGACCUUGACCUCAAAUCGGGUGAGACUACCCGCUGAACUUAAGCAUAUCAAUAAGCGGAGGAAAAGAAACUAACAAGGAUUCCCCUAGUAACUGCGAGUGAAGCGGGAAAAGCUCAAAUUUAAAAUCUGGUGGUCUUUGACCAUCCGAGUUGUAAUUUAGAGAAGCGUCUUCCGCGCUGGACCAUGCACAAGUCUCCUGGAAUGGAGCGUCAUAGAGGGUGAGAAUCCCGUCUUUGGCAUGGAUCCCAGGGCUUCUGUGAUGCGCUCUCGACGAGUCGAGUUGUUUGGGAAUGCAGCUCAAAAUGGGUGGUGAACUCCAUCUAAAGCUAAAUAUUGGCGAGAGACCGAUAGCGAACAAGUACCGUGAGGGAAAGAUGAAAAGCACUUUGGAAAGAGAGUGAAACAGUACGUGAAAUUGUUGAAAGGGAAACGCUUGAAGUCAGUCGCGUUGACCGAGACUCAGCCUUGCCUUGGCUUGGUGUAUUUCUCGGCUGACGGGUCAGCAUCAAUUUUGAUCCUUGGAUAAUGGCAAGGGAAAGGUAGCACCUUUUAGGUGUGUUAUAGUCCUCUGUCGCAUGCGAGGGUUAGGAUUGAGGAACUCAGCACGCACCUCUGGGUGUCGGGGCUUCGGCCUACGUUACGUGCUUAGGAUGCUGGCGUAAUGGCUUUAAACGACCCGUCUUGAAACACGGACCAAGGAGUCUAACAUACCCGCGAGUGUUCGGGUGGAAAACCCGUGCGCGUAAUGAAAGUAAAAGUUGGGACCUCUGUCGUGGAGGGCACCGACGCCCGGACCAGACCUUCUGUGACGGCUCUGCGGUAGAGCGUGUAUGUUGGGACCCGAAAGAUGGUGAACUAUGCCUGAAUAGGGUGAAGCCAGAGGAAACUCUGGUGGAGGCUCGUAGCGAU
rnacentral:rRNA from 1 species